AUGCCAAGACAGUUUCUUGGUAAGAAGGUGAGGUCACAGGAGGCUCCACCCGCAUCCUCAACUACGCCAACAAGGGCGGCCACGGCGGCAGCCUCAAGAACGCCAACAACGGCGGCUCCACCAUCGACUGUAAUAACAUCAACUGGUGCAGUGGCGGCCUCAAGCCAUGUGCGGUCGAGGACGCCGACACACUGUGACUGUUCCACGGGAAUGACGACAGUGGUGGCUCCGUCUGAGGCUUCUAUAACGUCAACUGACGCAAUGGCGGACUCAAGCCAUGUUCAGUCGAGGAUGCCCACGCCAAAUGUUUGUUCCUCAAGCAUGACAUCAAUAGUGGUUCCGUCCAUGGAUUCAAGAGCUUCGACUAACGCAACGACUGCCUCAAGCCAUAUGCGGUCGAUGGCGCCGACACCAGGUGAGGGGUCCUCAAGAAUAACAUCAAUGGUAACUCCAUCCGCUGCUUCAGAAAAGUCAAUUGGUGCAAAGCCUGCCUCAAGAGGGUCGAGAACGUCGACGCCAAAUGAUUGUUCCUCAAGAAUGACAUCAAUGGUGGUUCCGUCCAGGGACUCAAUAGCCUCAACUAACGCAACAACGACCUCAAGCCAUAUGCGGUCGAUAGCGUCGACACCAGGUGAGGGGUCCUCAAGAAUGACAUCAAUGAUAGCUCCAUUUGCUGCCUCAGUAAAGUCAACUGGUGCAAUGGCUGCCUCAAGAGGGUCGAGGAUGUCGAUGCCAAGUGAUUGUUCCUCAAGAAUGACAUCAAUGGUGGUACCGUCCAGGGACUCAAUAGCAUCGACUAACGCAACAGCGACCUCAAGCCAUAUGCGGUCGAUGGCGCCGACACCAGGUGAGGGGACCUCAAGAAUGACAUCAAUGGUAACUCCAUCCGCUGCCUCAGUAAAGUCAACUGGCGCAAUGGCUGCCUCAAGAGGGUCGAGGACGUCGACGCCAAAUGAUUGUUCCUCAAGAAUGACAUCAACGGUGGUUCCGUCCAGGGACUCAAUAGCAUCAACUAAUGCAACGACUGCCUCAAGCCAUAUGCGGUCGAUGGCGCCGACACCUAGUGACACUAGUAGAUAA
rnacentral:rRNA from 1 species